rnacentral:rRNA from 1 species
CACGUAGGGCGCAAGCGUUGUCCGGAAUUAUUGGGCGUAAAGAGCUCGUAGGUGGUUUGUUACGUCCGCUGUGAAAUCCUAGGGCUUAACCCUGGGCUUGCAGUGGAUACGGGCAGACUAGAGGUAGGUAGGGGAGAAUGGAAUUCCUGGUGUAGCGGUGAAAUGCGCAGAUAUCAGGAGGAACACCGGUGGCGAAGGCGGGUCCCUGGGCAGUAACUGACGCUGAGGAGCGAAAGCGUGGGGAGCGAACAGG